UACGUAGGGUGCAAGCGUUAAUCGGAAUUACUGGGCGUAAAGCGUGCGCAGGCGGUUUUGUAAGUCAGAUGUGAAAUCCCCGGGCUUAACCUGGGAACUGCGUUUGAAACUACAAGGCUAGAGUGUGGCAGAGGGGGGGUGGAAUUCCGACGUGUAGCAGUGAAAUGCGUAGAGAUGUGGAGGAACACCGAUGGCGAAGGCAGCCCCCUGGGUUAACACUGACGCUCAGGCACGAAAGCGUGGGGAGCAAACAGG
rnacentral:rRNA from 1 species